UACGUAGGGGGCAAGCGUUGUCCGGAUUUAUUGGGCGUAAAGAGCGUGUAGGCGGCCAUACAGGUCAGCUGUGAAAACUCGAGGCUCAACCUCGAGACGUCGGUUGAAACCGUAUGGCUAGAGUCCGGAAGAGGAGAGUGGAAUUCCCGGUGUAGCGGUGAAAUGCGCAGAUAUCGGGAAGAACACCUAUGGCGAAGGCAGCUCUCUGGGACGGUACUGGACGCUGAGACGCGAAAGCGUGGGGAGCGAACAGG
rnacentral:rRNA from 1 species